GCCCAGGCUGGAGUGCAGUGGCACGAUCUUGGCUCACUGCAAUCUCUGCUUCCCAGUAGAGACGGGGUUUCACCGUGUGAGCCAGGAUGAUCUCCCUCUCCUGACCUCUUGAUCCAUCUGCCUUGGCCUCCCCGUCAUAACUUCUUAUGAGCAGAGACAAUCCAACUUGAAUACAUGAAGAAUAACAUCUUUAGCACCCCAGAGGGUUGAAUAGUAUCCCAUUGUCUGGAUAUAACACAGCUUAUUGAUCCACUCACCUACUGAAGGACAUUUAAUUGCUUCCGAGUGUUGGCAGUUAUGAGUAAAGAUGCUACAGUCAUGUCUGAAGGCUUCUUUUGUGGACAUAAGUUUUCAACUCCUUCGGAUGUCCUUCAUCAGUUUGAUGAAGAUCCCCUGUAUUAAGACAACUUUUUGAAGUCAGGUAAAGUGAUGCUUCCAGCUUUAUUCUUUUUGAUUAAGUUUGCCUUGGCUGUUUGGGC